AAGAGGACUGACAAAAGGGAGAGAGAGCACGAUCUUCCCCUUUCACCACCAGCGAGCUGGCAGAAACCACAUCCUCAGGUUCACCAGACAAGAGCAGAAUUAAGGUAGAAACACUGACAACUUCUCCAGAACGACACCAAGGCUCUAUUAGAGGAAAGAAAAAGCCCCGGUCCUUUACAAGGGCUAUUAAAAAAUCAUGAGUUAAGUAGUUUCCAUACCAGAAUGUGACGUCUCCAAAGAAAGCUGAAAAGCACAGCUUGGAAUGAUGUUACUAAUUCUGUAGCUGUCUGAUUAGACAUGUAACCGGUGUCCCGGAAAGAUACUUUAUCCCAGCAUUUUGCUGGAGCUUUCCUUCCUCCUCCCAGUGAGACAGAAGGAGAAAACCCAACCGUCUGCAGUCCUUAAAGAUCCCAUGGCACUUUUCAUGGCGUGUCUAAAUGCUGGUGAUGGUCUAUCCUGUCCAAAUUCUGCAUUGGAUAAAUCUCUCGGUGAUCUCAAGUGAGAGAAGCUGUUGCAACCACAUGCUGCCUUGUCUGCGCCUGUAGUCACAGUGGAACUCUGGUUCUCUUGUUUCUCCUCCUGAGGCUCACUCUCGUAAGCUGAGUCUCAGACAGACCUGUGCAGAUUCUGGGAGUCUCUCUUUUGGGUUGGUGUCUGAAAGAGCUGCUGCUGAAAUGGAGUAACAUUGGGAAGCUACAUGAGACUACCGUUUCCUUGCGAAUACAAAGAAAUCCCAGGCCCCAACAGCACGUUAAGGUUAAAUACACAUCUCCAUCGUAACUCAUGAGGAUUUGAAAAUCAAUUGUGUGUUUGCUGGGGUAAACAGCACACCUGAUGUAGUGGGGAAUCUGGCAGCAUUGAGUUUAAAAAGGAGUCGGAAGGGAGGAACAGCACAGGAGUUUCAGACAGGGCUCGACAGCCUUUUGUCUGUGUCUUGUCUGACUAAAACCAGACUGUAGCCUCUAACCCAUCUACCCUGCUGAGCCAGCCAGCCAGCUGGAAAGCAAGCCCGGCAUGAGAGGCUUUCAUGAGCAACCAGAAGGCAGGCCUCCCGUCCAGCCUGACUGACUUAGGCAGGAACGACCCACCUCACAAGCAACACAACCUCCCGAGGGCCCUGUCAACGGCUGUAACCGCCCUGCCAGGCAGGCAAAGGAGCGCCAAGCUCCGUG